AACCCUGGAGCCUAUCCAUGCCCUUUGGUGGGGCUAAUGGCGGACCCUGGGAGGGCUCCCGCCAAGGAGUACUUCACAGAAUUUCUGCUGCCAGUGUCUUUGUCCCUGCAGUGAGCCACAGCUGCCCCCUGCCUCUGCAGGAGACCCUCCAACACUAGCAGAUAGGUCUGGUUCAGU